rnacentral:rRNA from 1 species
AGAGUUUGAUCCUGGCUCAGGAUGAACGCUGGCGGUAUGCCUAACACAUGCAAGCUGAACGGUAUUUUACAGUGGCGGACGGGUGAGUAAUAUGCAAGAAUCAACAUUUAGGUUAGGGAUAACAAUUGGAAACGGUUGCUAAUACCUAGUAUAGCUAUGUAGUUAAAGAUUUUUCGCCUAAAUACGAGCUUGUACCCGAUUAGUUUGUUGGUAUGGUAAUGGCAUACCAAGACGUUUAUCGGUAGUUGGUUUGUGAAAAUGGUCAACCACAUUGGGAUUGAGAUAAGGAACAAACUUCUACGGAAGGCAGCAGUGGGGAAUAUUUCUAUAAUGAGUGAAAGCUUGAAGGAGCAAUACCGCGUGAAGGAUGAAGGCCUUCGGGUUGUAAACUUCUUUUCUCAGUGAAGAAGGUCUGACGGUAGCUGAGGAAUAAGCAUCGGCUAACUUUGUGCCAGCAGCCGCGGUAAUACAAGGGAUGCAAGCGUUAUCUGUUGUUAUUGGGCGUAAAGAGUCUGUAGGUGGUUAGAUGUGUUUAGUGUUAAAUCCUAAAGCUUAACUUUGGUCAAGCACUAAAAACUGUUUAACUUGAGUUUGGUAGGGGUAAAGGGUAUUUCCAGUGUAGUGGUGAAAUGCGUAGAUAUUGGAAAGAACGUCAAUGGCGAAGGCGCUUUACUGGGCUAUUUACUGACACUGAGAGACGAAAGCUAAGGGAGCAAAACGGAUUAGAUACCCGUGUAGUCUUAGCCGUAAACGAUGGAUACUAAAUGACACGUUUUUGUGUUGUUGUAGCUAACGCGGAA